rnacentral:rRNA from 1 species
GAUGAACGCUGACAGAAUGCUUAACACAUGCAAGUCAACUUGAAUUUGGGUUUUUAACUUAGAUUUGGGUGGCGGACGGGUGAGUAACGCGUAAAGAACUUGCCUCACAGCUAGGGACAACAUUCAGAAAUGAAUGCUAAUACCUGAUAUUAUGAUUUUAAGGCAUCUUAGAAUUAUGAAAGCUAUAAGCACUGUGAGAGAGCUUUGCGUCCCAUUAGCUAGUUGGAGAGGUAACAGCUCACCAAGGCGAUGAUGGGUAGACGGCCUGAGAGGGUGAACGGCCACAAGGGGACUGAGACACGGCCCUUACUCCUACGGGAGGCAGCAGUGGGGAAUAUUGGACAAUGGACCGAGAGUCUGAUCCAGCAAUUCUGUGUGCACGAUGAAGUUUUUCGGAAUGUAAAGUGCUUUCAGUUGGAAAGAAAGAAAUGACGGUACCAACAGAAGAAGUGACGGCUAAAUACGUGCCAGCAGCCGCGGUAAUACGUAUGUCACGAGCGUUAUCCGGAUUUAUUGGGCGUAAAGCGCGUCUAGGUGGUUAUGUAAGUCUGAUGUGAAAAUGCAGAGCUCAACUCUGUAUUGCGUUGGAAACUGUAUAACUAGAGUACUGGAGAGGUAAGCGGAACUACAAGUGUAGAGGUGAAAUUCGUAGAUAUUUGUAGGAAUGCCGAUGGGGAAGCCAGCUUACUGGACAGAUACUGACGCUAAAGCGCGAAAGCGUGGGUAGCAAACAGG